rnacentral:rRNA from 1 species
CGUAGGACAUUAAUCGUUGAACAAACGAACUUUGGUAGCGGCUACACCACCUGGGUGUCCUGAUCCAACAUCGAGGUCGUAAACCUCCCCGGUGAUAUGAACUCUUGGGGGAGAUGGCGCUGUUAUCCCCGGGGUAACUUGGUUCGUUUAUCAGUAAUACUGGGUCAAUAUAAAUAGCUGUUUGGCCUGUGAGCUUUUAGUGGCGGUUAGCCAGGUUUCGUGGAGUUCUGUUUUUCUCCGUAGUCGCCCCAACUUAAAAUUUAUACUAUGUUUUUAAUUUAGUGUCUAGGUAGUGGUAGAUUUGAAGCUCCGCGGGGCCUUCUCGUCUUGUGUGGAUAUUCCAGCUUUUGUACUGGAAAAUCAGUUUCAUUGAUCGAUCGUAGGAGACAGUUAAACCCUCAAGUAGCCAUUCAUACGGGUCCUUAAUUAGAGGACAAGUGAUUACGCUACCUUUGCACGGUUAUGAUACCGCGGCCGUUAAAU